UGACGGUACCACUUGAAUAAGCUCCGGCUAACUACGUGCCAGCAGCCGCGGUAAUACGUAGGGGGCAAGCGUUAUCCGGAUUUACUGGGUGUAAAGGGAGCGUAGACGGUUUGGCAAGUCUGAAGUGAAAUGCGGGGGCUCAACUCCUGAACUGCUUUGGAAACUGUCGAACUAGAGUGCAGGAGAGGUAAGUGGAAUUCCUAGUGUAGCGGUGAAAUGCGUAGAUAUUAGGAGGAACACCAGUGGCGAAGGCGGCUUACUGGACUGUAACUGACGUUGAGGCUCGAAAGCGUGGGGAGCAAACAGGAUUAGAUACCCUG
rnacentral:rRNA from 1 species